CAUAAUGUUGCUUAUGUAAUUGUAGAUUAAUGAUACCAAAAAAAAAAACCAAUUGGAGAUACACAAAAGAGAAAGAGAAAGGAAUCAAAGCAUACCACUACAGAAAAUUAUCAGCUAACAAAGGAAAAGAGGAAGAAAGGAACAAAGAACUGCAAAAGAGCCAAAAAACAAUGAUCAAGAUGGAGGUGUUCACUUUGGUCUCCAUUCUUCUUCCCGGUGAAAUGCUCGCCUCUCCAGCCCUGCUCUGCGGUCCAGUCCGGAAAGUUGGAAGCUCUGUCCCUCAGACUCUGCUUGGCCAGGGGG